GACGAACGCUGGCGGCGUGCUUAACACAUGCAAGUCGAACGAAGUGGCGAACGGGUGAGUAACGCGUAAUCAACCUGCCCUUCAGAGGGGGACAACAGUUUGACACGUCUGCUCAUACGGCAUACUGCCGGCGGGGAUUGCGUCUGAUUAGCUAGUUGGAGGGGUAACGGCCAACCAAGGCUAGUAUUAGUAGCCGGGCUGAGAGGAUGGAUGGCCACAUUGGGACUGGGAAACGGCCCAGGCUCCCACGGGAGGGAGCAGUGGGGAAACUUCCGCAAAGGAAGAAAGGCUUACGGGGCAACCGCGCGUGAGGGAUAACGGGUUUUGGGUUGUAAAGCUCUGUUAAUCGGGACACGGUACCUGAAUAGAAAGCCACGGCUAACUACGUGCCAGCAGCCGCGGUAAUUC
rnacentral:rRNA from 1 species